AGUGAACGCUGGCGGCGUGCUUAACACAUGCAAGUCGAACGAGAACGGAAUAUAGCUUGCUAUAUUUGUCAGCUAAGUGGCGCACGGGUGAGUAAUGUAUAGAUAACCUGCCCUUAAGAAAGGAAUAACAGUUGGAAACGACUGCUAAUGCCCUAUAUGCCUUUAAUACAUAAGUAUGCAAGGGAAAACGCUUUAGUGCUUAAGGAUGGGUCUGUAUGGUAUCAGCUUGUUGGUGAGGUAAUGGCUCACCAAGGCUAUGACGCCUAACUGGUUUGAGAGGAUGAUCAGUCACACUGGAACUGAGACACGGUCCAGACUCCUACGGGAGGCAGCAGUGGGGAAUAUUGCACAAUGGACGAAAGUCUGAUGCAGCAACGCCGCGUGGAGGAUGACACAUUUCGGUGCGCAAACUCCUUUUAUAUAGGAAGAUAAUGACGGUACUAUAUGAAUAAGCACCGGCUAACUCCGUGCCAGCCGCCGCAGUAA
rnacentral:rRNA from 1 species